CAGUAGCCGCGGUAAUACGUAGGUGGCAAGCGUUGUCCGGAAUUAUUGGGCGUAAAGGGCUCGCAGGCGGUUUCUUAAGUCUGAUGUGAGAGCCCCCGGCUCAACCGGGGAGGGUCAUUGGAAACUGGGAAACUUGAGUGCAGAAGAGGAGAGUGGAAUUCCACGUGCAGCGGUGAAAUGCGUAGAGAUGUGGAGGAACACCAGUGGCGAAGGCGACUCUCUGGUCUGUAACUGACGCUGAGGAGCGAAAGCGUGGGGAGCGAACAGGAUUAGAUACCCGCGUAGUCCCUGUCUCUUAUAC
rnacentral:rRNA from 1 species